ACGUAGGGUGCAAGCGUUAAUCGGAAUUACUGGGCGUAAGGCGAGCGCAGGCGGUUAUUUAAGUCAGGUGUGAAAGCCCCGAGCUCAACUUGGGACGUGCAUUUGAAACUGGGUAACUAGAGUGUGUCAGAGGGGGGUAGAAUUCCACGUGUAGCAGUGAAAUGCGUAGAGAUGUGGAGGAAUACCGAUGGCGAAGGCAGCCACCUGGGAUAACACUGACGCUCAUGCUCGAAAGCGUGGGUAGCAAACAG
rnacentral:rRNA from 1 species